CUGUUUUGUAAUAGAGUGUAAAAGACAGCUGUGCCUGAAUCCACUGUUUGUCACGGAGCUAAAGGCAGUGAAUUCCGCUAAAAUGGUCAGGUUUUGGUAGAGAGUUGGAAACAUCGUGCUGAGAUCCUUUCCACGGAGUGUUACAGAUCUACAUGUUCCAGACAAUUGCCAGAGAUGUAUAGAUUCCCAGUCCAGGUGGCUGGGUGGCGAGCCAACCGUGUUUGUGAUUCUGAAUUAAGACGAGUCUCCAAGAUCAUCUCUAUCUACUUGGUGGUAGGAUGAACACUAACACAAACUAAAAAAAAAAGGGCCCCAACGAUAGAAACUGAACUCUUGUCAACAAGAGCAAGUGGAACCAAGAAUAAACUGAGCUCAAAUAAACGGAAAAAAGGG